rnacentral:rRNA from 1 species
GACGAACGCUGGCGGCGUGCUUAACACAUGCAAGUCGGACGGAAAGGCCCUGCUUUUGUGGGGUGCUCGAGUGGCGAACGGGUGAGUAACACGUGAGUAACCUGCCCUUGACUUUGGGAUAACUUCAGGAAACUGGGGCUAAUACCGGCUAGGAGCUCCUGCUGCAUGGUGGGGGUUGGAAAGUUUCGGCGGUUGGGGAUGGACUCGCGGCUUAUCAGCUUGUUGGUGGGGUAGUGGCUUACCAAGGCUUUGACGGGUAGCCGGCCUGAGAGGGUGACCGGCCACAUUGGGACGGAGAUACGGCCCAGACUCCUACGGGAGGCAGCAGUGGGGAAUAUUGCACAAUGGGCGGAGGCCUGAUGCAGCAACGCCGCGUGCGGGAUGACGGCCUUCGGGUUGUAAACCGCUUUCGCCUGUGACGAAGCGUGAGUGACGGUAAUGGGUAAAGAAGCACCGGCUAACUACGUG